UUUUUUUUGUGUUUUAUUGUUUUCUUAAUUCCGAUUGGAUUUGUUUUUUGUUUAUUUUUCUCAAUUUUAUC
rnacentral:sRNA from 1 species